UAGGGAAUCUUCCGCAAUGGGCGAAAGCCUGACGGAGCAACGCCGCGUGAGUGAUGAAGGUCUUCGGAUCGUAAAACUCUGUUAUUAGGGAAGAACAAAUGUGUAAGUAACUAUGCACGUUUUGACGGUACCUAAUCAGAAAGCCACGGCUAACUACGUGCCAGCAGCCGCGGUAAUACGUAGGUGGCAAGCGUUAUCCGGAAUUAUUGGGCGUAAAGCGCGCGUAGGCGGUUUUUUAAGUCUGAUGUGAAAGCCCACGGCUCAACCGUGGAGGGUCAUUGGAAACUGGAAAACUUGAGUGCAGAAGAGGAAAGUGGAAUUCCAUGUGUAGCAGUGAAAUGCGCAGAGAUAUGGAGGAACACCAGCGGCGAAGGCGACUUUCUGGUCUGUAACUGACGCUGAUGUGCGAAAGCGUGGGGAUCAAACAGG
rnacentral:rRNA from 1 species